CUACGGGUUGCUGCAGUGGGGAAUAUUGCACAAUGGGCGCAAGCCUGAUGCAGCCAUGCCGCGUGUAUGAAGAAGGCCUUCGGGUUGUAAAGUACUUUCAGCGGGGAGGAAGGGAGUAAAGUUAAUACCUUUGCUCAUUGACGUUACCCGCAGAAGAAGCACCGGCUAACUCCGUGCCAGCAGCCGCGGUAAUACGGAGGGUGCAAGCGUUAAUCGGAAUGACUGGGCGUAAAGCGCACGCAGGCGGUUUGUUAAGUCAGAUGUGAAAUCCCCGGGCUCAACCUGGGAACUGCAUCUGAUACUGGCAAGCUUGAGUCUCGUAGAGGGGGGUAGAAUUCCAGGUGUAGCGGUGAAAUGCGUAGAGAUCUGGAGGAAUACCGGUGGCGAAGGCGGCCCCCUGGACGAAGACUGACGCUCAGGUGCGAAAGCGUGGGGAGCAAACAGGAUUAGAUACCCUUGUAGUC
rnacentral:rRNA from 1 species